UGGGGAAUCUUGCGCAAUGGCCUAACGGCUGACGCAGCGACGCCGCGUGAGGGAUGACGCUCUUCGGAGUGUAAACCUCUUUUGCCCGGGACGAAUUGCCAACUUUAGUUGGCUUGACGGUACCGGGUGAAUAAGCACCGGCUAACUCCGUGCCAGCAGCCGCGGUAAUACGGGGGGUGCGAGCGUUGUCCGGAAUCACUGGGCGUAAAGGGCGCGUAGGUGGUCUUAUAAGGGUGUGGUGAAAGCCCGGGGCUCAACCCCGGGUCGGCCGUGCCGACUGUAAGACUAGAGUGCUGUAGGGGCAGGGGGAAUUCCGGGUGUAGCGGUGGAAUGCGUAGAGAUCCGGAGGAAGACCGGUGGCGAGGGCGGCCUGCUGGGCAGAUACUGACACUGAGGCGCGACAGCGUGGGGAGCAAACAGG
rnacentral:rRNA from 1 species